rnacentral:rRNA from 1 species
AACGAACGCUGGCGGCGUGCCUAACACAUGCAAGUCGAACGAGACCUUCGGGUCUAGUGGCGCACGGGAGCGUAACGCGUGGGAACCUGCCUUUAGGUUCGUAAUAACAGUGAGAAAUUACUGCUAAUACCGGAUAAUGUCUUCGGACCAAAGAUUUAUCGCCUUUAGAUGGGCCCGCGUAGGAUUAGCUAGUUGGUGGGGUAAAGGCCUACCAAGGCGACGAUCCUUAGCUGGUCUGAGAGGAUGAUCAGCCACACUGGGACUGAGACACGGCCCAGACUCCUACGGGAGGCAGCAGUGGGGAAUAUUGGACAAUGGGCGAAAGCCUGAUCCAGCAAUGCCGCGUGAGUGAUGAAGGCCUUAGGGUUGUAAAGCUCUUUUACCAGGGAUGAUAAUGACAGUACCUGGAGAAUAAGCUCCGGCUAACUCCGUGCCAGCCGCCGCUGUAA